rnacentral:lncRNA from 1 species
UCAAAGAUGUCCUCUUUGAACCAGUUCGUAAAACCCAAGAUGCUAUGUUUUUCAUACAUACUUCUGAUGAUAUGUGGGUGCCUUGUGGACCGAAGCAACCUGGUGCUGUCCAAAUUUCCAUGCAGGACCUUGCAGCACAAGGGCUUGCAGAAAAGGUAUUAGCUGAUGCUUUAAAAUAAAACCUGUUAUUGCCUCUUUUUUUUUGGGUUUGACAGGGAGAAUAUAGGAUUAGGCUUGCCUUCAGCUUUUUUGAUGAUUUGGCUGCUCAUAACACUUGAACUUGCAGUGUUAUGUUUGGAAUACCAUGUCUUUACCACUGCACAGAGCAAUGGCUCUGGGCAUGCUUUGGAUCUGAUUUGCUAGUUAAAAUCAAAGAUUUUGUUUUCUCUCUCUCUAAACAUGUAUAAAAAGGAUAUUUAUUUGUGGGGAAACAUAUGUAGACCUUGAGAGAUAACAAGUGGGGUGUUUUCAUUUUGAUGCUUUGUUUAUUGUUAUAGUAACUAAAUUAUGUUGAAUGCUGAUAACCACAUCUGCAGAUCCUUCCACCCCCUAUCAUGAAAACAGAUUUUGACAAGGUCCUAGCAAGACAAAAGCCAACAGUGAGCAAAGCUGAUCUAGAUGUCCAUGAGAGAUUCACAAAGGAGUUUGGGGAGGAAGGUUAAUGAAGAUGAUGACAGAGACACACUGGCCAAUGCCUGUGAGUGCAACCUAUGUGAUUAGUUAUUGCUGCUGGAUCCACC